GUCUUUUUGAGUUAUUUUAAAAGUCUAACCUGCCCACUGAAUAAAUUUUAAAUGGCCGCAGUAUUUUAACUGUGCAAAGGUAGCAUAAUCAUUAGUCUUUUAAUUGAAGGCUGGUAUGAAUGGUUGGACGAAGUAUAAGCUGUUUCAUAUAAAAUUAUAUUAGAAUUUUAUUUUUUAGUUAAAAAGCUAAAAUUUUAUUAAAAGACGAGAAGACCCUAUAAAUCUUUAUAUUUAUGUGUAUAUAAAUUUUAUAAAUUUUUUUUUGUUUUUAUAUGUAUAAAUAUUUUAUUGGGGUGAUAUUAAAAUUUAAUAAACUUUUAAUUAAUAUUAAAUCAUUAAUUUAUGAAUUGUUGAUCCAUUAUUAGUGAUUAUAAAAUUAAGUUACUUUAGGGAUAACAGCGUAAUUUUUUUUGAGAGUUCAUAUCGAUAAAAAAGUUUGCGACCUCGAUGUUGGAUUAAGAUAUAUUUUUAGGUGUAGCUGCUUAAAUAUUAAGUCUGUUCGACUUUUAAAUUCUUACAU
rnacentral:rRNA from 1 species